rnacentral:rRNA from 1 species
CACGUAGGGUGCGAGCGUUGUCCGGAAUUAUUGGGCGUAAAGAGCUCGUAGGCGGUGUGUCGCGUCGGCCGUGAAAACCUGCAGCUUAACUGUGGGCUUGCGGUCGAUACGGGCAUCACUGGAGUUCGGCAGGGGAGACUGGAAUUCCUGGUGUAGCGGUGAAAUGCGCAGAUAUCAGGAGGAACACCGGUGGCGAAGGCGGGUCUCUGGGCCGUUCCUGACACUAAAGCGCGAGAGCUAGGGGAGCAAACAGG